GUGAGGAAUAUUGCGCAAUGGAGGCAACUCUGACGCAGCCAUGCCGCGUGCAGGAAGAAGGCGCUACGCGUUGUAAACUGCUUUUAACCGGGAAGAAACCCCAGGACGUGUCCUGGGUUGACGGUACCGGAGGAAUAAGCACCGGCUAACUUCGUGCCAGCAGCCGCGGUAAUACGAAGGGUGCAAGCGUUAUCCGGAUUCAUUGGGUUUAAAGGGUGCGUAGGCGGAGCGUUAAGUCAGUGGUGAAAUCCUGCAGCUUAACUGUAGACUUGCCAUUGAUACUGGCGCUCUUGAGUGCGCUUGAAGUGGGCGGAAUGUGCCGUGUAGCGGUGAAAUGCUUAGAUAUGGCACAGAACACCAAUUGCGAAGGCAGCUCACUAAGGCGAUACUGACGCUGAGGCUCGAAAGCGUGGGGAUCGAACAGGAUUAGAUACCCUUGUAGUCC
rnacentral:rRNA from 1 species